rnacentral:lncRNA from 1 species
GAACACUUUCAUGAUAAAGUAACUUGAUGUAUUUGAGGUAUUUAAUACGCGUAUUUCAUUGAUGUCAUUUGCACCACGACCGGCUGCUGUUCGUCAAUGUUUUACCACCGCUGUAUAGUGAUGCUUGACUACAAAGUACAGAGAUGACAUAGAAGCAUGACUCCGAGCUCUUACAUGUAGGAAAAAUACAGGUAACCGUCGAAUUAGGCAAAGUCCGUUGCAGCGCUGGAGGAAACUUAGCGCCCACAUACAACGCCCGCUGCUGCACUCGCGCUUGCAAUGUCACACCUCGCGCAUCGCGCAACCUCACCGGCUCCGAUCAAAGCAGCGAACCUGGCUACCCAUGGCGCGCAAAUGGGUUGAAUCCCUGUACACAUCUGCACGCCCCUCCAAACGUUAUGCCAAACAACGAAAUCUGCCUACACACCACGCAUUGCCCGUUUGCUACAAAGCACGUCGUCCUUUGAUUAUCCCGCGCCAACAUGAGUACGACUGCGGCAGUGGGCACGCGCGUCACCUCACCAAAAAACAUGGCAUCGCGUAUGUAACAUCAUGCUUUUAAAUGUUUCCUUUGGCUCCCGCUCAUCCCUAUCAUGAUUGCCUGUCGGUGGCCAGGUGGUCUUGGGGGGGAUGUGCGGGGUCGUGGGGCUGCCGCCCCACUUCCCCGCACUUUCCCCUCUCUCCUGCCCCUUGUUCUUGGAAAGCUUUAGGCGAAAGUUUUUAUCGGCUGGCAUUAGCAAGCAUGUGGGCUGUGUGCCUUUUCCAAUGAUUGAAACGGUUUGUUUUCUUGCAUUGGUCGUACAGUGCAAAUUGCCCACACAUUGCUAGUUGUUGCAACAGUAAAGUAUAAGCAAUUGACGAAGUGUAAGGAGAAUGUCAGUCUGGAGAAUUAAGCAUCUAAAUUUGUGAUUACAGUCGAGGUGAGCCGUUAGUCCCCCCCAUUUAAACUGGGCAGGUUGCAGGUUGUCCGCCGUCACCAGCAUGUCGUUGGCAGUGUGCACCGCACUGUUGCCUCUGCCACCGCUGCUGCCGUCGGGCAUGUUAGACUUAGCGCUGUCAGCACUAUCACCGGAGCAGCGGUGGACUUCCCGACUUUCCGCCGCCGCCACUGCUGCUGCUGUCGGGUUGGCAGGCCGUCAUUGACCGGGGCUGUGGCAUGUGCAGGGACUGCCGUUGACUGCGGGUGUUGCGAUGGAAGGGGUGGUGUUGGGGUCGCCGGGGGUGGGGUAGCCACUGGGGUCGGCAGCAUGGCGGGCGGUGUAGAGCCGCCGAUGGGGUCACUGCCGCUGGGGCAGCAGUGUUUUUUUUUUGCGGAAUAUAUUCCGAAUUCGGAAUAAAAAAUGUUCGCGGUCCUGGAAAUUAAGAAUAAAUAAUGUUCCGACCGUACAAGUUCAUUCCUCCAGCCAAAUAGGGGGGUCCUUGUGAAGCAGCUGCCCGCGUUUCCAAAGCCCGUAUGGUGUUGGAUUGUAAGUUGCCCAAGUACGUUUGCGAGGAAGAGAAUGUGGCCAGGCUGGAGAGGAAAGUGCAGUGGCAUAUUGGAAUGUGAGAUUAGCGUAAGCGAGUUACAGGGCGUUUUUAUUUAUUGCACGGGCGAAUUUACGUGCAAAUCUUUNNNNNNNNNNNNNNNNNNNNNNNNNNNNNNNNNNNNNNNNNNNNNNNNNNACUUUUUCGGUCGCUCGAGCGUCGCAGGAGCAGUGGCGACGCACUUUGUGGAGUGAUGCACGUCCAUGGAGUCCAGGAAUUAACUUUGCGCGAGCAGCCACUCUGUAUGGCCAAGUAGCAAUCCAAUUUUCAUUCUUCGUAAAGAAUCGGGAGAGUAACGCUACAGGAGCGUCCAUACAAUAAUAGGACAAGGGGCUCCGCUCGUCAAAGUAGACUUUGACGUGGUGGCGUUAGUAGAACCAAAACUAACUCCAGAAAAGCUUUACGAAAUUCAUCAAGAAUACGGUGAACCCAAAGAUAAGAACAAGCGGAACCUUGCGGAACCGAACUCAAUCGAUCAACGCAGCGAUCACUCAUGAAAACACCAAGAGAUGCAAUGGAGGCUCACUCUAGGAACCAGGAUUCCAAGGACAAAGAGGUUCGGCAGGUCAACUCGUCGGGUCAAGUCAAGUCGCAUGUCGCACGAAGUGCAUUUUCCACAGGACAACGUAUUACAAGUGACCGAUUAUCUCCGACGCUGUCACAUUGACAUGCGCCGCACGGUGGUGGCCUGGUGGGGCUGCGGGACCUCCGCGGGACCCCCGCGGUGGGUGGUGGGGGAGCCACCCUGCGGCAGCAUCACUCCUGGGCCUGCCCCGUGGCCCUGGGCACGGUGGGCCAAGUUCAAUUGCAGAUGGUUGCUCGGGUGAGCCGAGCAAAGCUCUGGCUGAUGCAAGCGCCACCCCCUUAGAGGGCUGUGUGUAGGUUGUGGUAGUGUGUCCUGAGGUGCCUGUGUAGGCGACUUUCCCCGAGUCCUGCUUUAUAAUUUUCUGGUGCAGUUGUGAUGCGUCGCUGUUGCCCCCUGUUUGGUAGUGGUGUCCCGCUGGGUGUCUGCAUUUUUGGGUGUUCUGCUGGCGGGCUGUAGCUACUGUUCACUUUCGGGCAUUGUGAUGCGGGGAUGCAUUGCACCGACCUUGCACGGGGUCCACUGUAACCUUCAUUCAUUCAGUGUAUGUGAAGAAAUGCAUGAAUUCUCGGUCUUAGAGGGGAUUGCGUUAUGUGUGUAGUGUAGGGUGUGCAGGAUUUCACACGCAGCGCAAGUCGCGCGCCUGCCAGGGAUUCACACGGCAGCCCCGGCCCAUCAUCAGCCUAUGACAGCUGCCGCCACUUCAAGGCGAUUUGCUUUGUGUGCUCGUGAGGCAGGGAGCUCUGUCCAGCUGCCGCUGCUUCUGAUGGGGUGUUACACUGUGGGCGGCUCGUCCCGAGAGAGGACAAGCACCGGGGGCUAUGACCGGGCCGAAACACAGGGGCGGGCGGGCGCGUGGCUCUACGUCCGUCUGUUCCGCCGCGCUCGCCUCACCCCCUCACUCACGCCAACCGGGGCGCUGUCCCAGCCCCUGGCUAGGCAACACAGCGGACACAGAAGACUGCGAACCGAACUAAGCGAGAGGCUCACGAGAGGCGCCACACUUCUGCCUUCUGUGAUUGCGCUAAACAUGUACCCGUUUGGUACCUGCUGAGGCUUUGCUGCUUGACCAUCCACGCUCUUCUCGCACGUUGGUUUGUGACCUUCACAGCUGCUCCUCUAUCUGUUACCGCAAUCGUGCUCGCUGCCAUCGGAGCGGUUACCUUUCGCUAGUACCCAUACUUGCGUGAAACACUCUUAUAUCAACCGAGUCUAAUACAAUGACCAGCAGUGAAUUUGACAAAGUGUCCUGCUCUCAUCCAAAGUCAGACCUGUGCCUAAACGCGAACGUAAAGGCACAAUUCUUUGUCAAUAUGUUCUUCGUUAAACGUCUUACUUAUAACACUCGAAAAAAAUUGCGAAUACUUUAGUUUUUGGUGCUUAUGUGAGCUCGAAUGGGCUGGGGACCGGAAGGCACAUAAAUUAGGUCCCUCGCCGGUCCCACGGUCGUACAUUCCGGGUCCCCUGGCCCUAGAUAUGCCCUACAUACAGCAGUCACGAAUGAGUGCCCCAAUUUUUGGUUGGCUAGUGACACUUAAAAUUUAUAUGAGGAACACUUUCAUGAUAAAGUAACUUGAUGUAUUUGAGGUAUUUAAUACGCGUAUUUCAUUGAUGUCAUUUGCACCACGACCGGCUGCUGUUCGUCAAUGUUUUACCACCGCUGUAUAGUGAUGCUUGACUACAAAGUACAGAGAUGACAUAGAAGCAUGACUCCGAGCUCUUACAUGUAGGAAAAAUACAGGUAACCGUCGAAUUAGGCAAAGUCCGUUGCAGCGCUGGAGGAAACUUAGCGCCCACAUACAACGCCCGCUGCUGCACUCGCGCUUGCAAUGUCACACCUCGCGCAUCGCGCAACCUCACCGGCUCCGAUCAAAGCAGCGAACCUGGCUACCCAUGGCGCGCAAAUGGGUUGAAUCCCUGUACACAUCUGCACGCCCCUCCAAACGUUAUGCCAAACAACGAAAUCUGCCUACACACCACGCAUUGCCCGUUUGCUACAAAGCACGUCGUCCUUUGAUUAUCCCGCGCCAACAUGAGUACGACUGCGGCAGUGGGCACGCGCGUCACCUCACCAAAAAACAUGGCAUCGCGUAUGUAACAUCAUGCUUUUAAAUGUUUCCUUUGGCUCCCGCUCAUCCCUAUCAUGAUUGCCUGUCGGUGGCCAGGUGGUCUUGGGGGGGAUGUGCGGGGUCGUGGGGCUGCCGCCCCACUUCCCCGCACUUUCCCCUCUCUCCUGCCCCUUGUUCUUGGAAAGCUUUAGGCGAAAGUUUUUAUCGGCUGGCAUUAGCAAGCAUGUGGGCUGUGUGCCUUUUCCAAUGAUUGAAACGGUUUGUUUUCUUGCAUUGGUCGUACAGUGCAAAUUGCCCACACAUUGCUAGUUGUUGCAACAGUAAAGUAUAAGCAAUUGACGAAGUGUAAGGAGAAUGUCAGUCUGGAGAAUUAAGCAUCUAAAUUUGUGAUUACAGUCGAGGUGAGCCGUUAGUCCCCCCCAUUUAAACUGGGCAGGUUGCAGGUUGUCCGCCGUCACCAGCAUGUCGUUGGCAGUGUGCACCGCACUGUUGCCUCUGCCACCGCUGCUGCCGUCGGGCAUGUUAGACUUAGCGCUGUCAGCACUAUCACCGGAGCAGCGGUGGACUUCCCGACUUUCCGCCGCCGCCACUGCUGCUGCUGUCGGGUUGGCAGGCCGUCAUUGACCGGGGCUGUGGCAUGUGCAGGGACUGCCGUUGACUGCGGGUGUUGCGAUGGAAGGGGUGGUGUUGGGGUCGCCGGGGGUGGGGUAGCCACUGGGGUCGGCAGCAUGGCGGGCGGUGUAGAGCCGCCGAUGGGGUCACUGCCGCUGGGGCAGCAGUGUUUUUUUUUUGCGGAAUAUAUUCCGAAUUCGGAAUAAAAAAUGUUCGCGGUCCUGGAAAUUAAGAAUAAAUAAUGUUCCGACCGUACAAGUUCAUUCCUCCAGCCAAAUAGGGGGGUCCUUGUGAAGCAGCUGCCCGCGUUUCCAAAGCCCGUAUGGUGUUGGAUUGUAAGUUGCCCAAGUACGUUUGCGAGGAAGAGAAUGUGGCCAGGCUGGAGAGGAAAGUGCAGUGGCAUAUUGGAAUGUGAGAUUAGCGUAAGCGAGUUACAGGGCGUUUUUAUUUAUUGCACGGGCGAAUUUACGUGCAAAUCUUUCACCGUAGCAUCAGUCCUCAGUUCACUUCUUGGAACGAACAUCAGCAUAGGUCCAAGCCCUCUCGCUUGGAGGGAUAUGCAAACAAACAUCCUGAUAGGGGUAAACUCGCACGCUACCGAGCAUUCAACCGAGCACAUGCAUGCUUAGUUGAAUGGUGAGAUGCGACCCCCCCUUCAUUUCGUGCUCGGCAAGCCUGCCACCGCGUACCGGAUAUGUUGGCGAUGUNNN